rnacentral:lncRNA from 1 species
ACACAGAGAAACCCUGUCUGGAAAAAACAAACAAAAAACCAAAACAAAACCUAUAAUGGUAUCCAGCGAGUACGGAGUACGGAGACAGUUGCAUCUCUUGAGUUGGAGGCUUGGUCUGCUUGGUAAGUUCCAGGAUGGGCAGUUACACAGGGACACCAUGGCUUGAAAAACAUCUUUUUGUCUAACGGCCCACUGAAGAGGUGUGAACUCUUGAGAAUGAACUACCUUCCCCUGCCUGUGUGUGUGUCAGUGUGCUUAGGCUGGCCUCAAACAUGCUGCAUAGACAAGGAUGACCUUACUUCCACUUGCCAGGUGUUAGGAUUACAGAUUUGUGCCACCAUGCCCAACAAAAUUUGGAAAAACAAACAAACUGAAACUGGAAGAAAACAUUGAGCUCUGGUGCCCUCAAGUGUCAUAAUGUUGCAAAACAGCUUAGGAAGACUAUAAAAUUUGAGCAUCCUUUGACUUAAAUUGCUAUUUCUAUAUAUUAAGAUUUUUCUACAGUUCAAAUUGUCUUGCACAUGUACAAUAAACUAUAUGAAUUAUAUCCCCACCUCUUGUUUAGAUACAACUUCAAAUGGCCCUAUUCAUUAUAAAAUAGUAUCACAAUUACAUGACAAGUGUACCAUGUUUGCUCAUUUCUUAUUCUUCAGGAAAUGUUAACGACUCGCACUAUGGCAGUUAGUUUCCUGAUUAAGAGGGUGAGUUCUAUACUUAGCAGGGUUCUUGAGUUAUCAUGGGCCUUUCACCAUAAUCAUUUGCCAUUGUAUUUCUCUAUGACUGUCUUUUUUUUUUCCAGAGCAUAUAUUUAUAUCAUUUAGAAUGGUAAGGCCAUUUUUGCAUUUUUAAGUUUUUGAUAUGCCUCUUACAAAAUACAUGAACUUGUAUGAAUUUUUGGGUUCAUGUACUGCUGACUAAAAGAGUGGGUACUAUUUACAUGUAGCUCAUAGGUCUAGGAAAAUAUAGGUUCUUUUCCCUGUUACUGUUUGGAAUCUGAACUUUGGUCAAUACAGCCAGCCCUGUUUAUUGGCAUGUAUAGAGUCAACCAAUCAUGAAUUGAAAAUAUCUAAAAAAAUGACUAUGCACAAUCUUCCAAAUACUACAAUAGGAUAAUAACUUAUGACAUUUACAUUGCAUUGGUAUUAUAAGUAUGUUGAGAUUAUGUACAAUAUUUGGGAGGAUAUGUUUAGGUUAUACAAUUAUAUAGGUGACCUUUGCAUCUGGAUUUUGAUAUCUUUAGUGUCCCUCAAACCAGUCCCUCAUGAAUAGCAAAGGAUGACUAUGAAGAGAACUGCUUGUCCUAUAGUCAGUUUAGGGCAUUGUGGUUCCGGAGUUCACCAAAGUAACUGAAAGGAAGGACAGGAAGAAUUCCAGUUCUAUGACUAGGAAAAUAUAUAGAGAUUUCCAUCAAGCAUGUAUGUGAUAUGGCCACUCUUGCACUUUUUGCUUCUUGAGACAGGGUUUUAUGCAGUCCAUUAUUGGCCUUAGGCUUGCUAUGUAUCUGAACCAGUCUUGAUUCUGCACUGCUCAAUGCUGAAAUUGCUGGCAUGUGUCACUACACCAAGUCUUUAACUUUUAUUUUUAUUAAAUAGAAAGAUUACUUAAGCCUAGGAAAUGAAGACCAGCCUAUGCCACAAAGACACUGUCUCCAAGACAUUAGAACAAAAAGCAACCCAAUAGAACAUUUACAUUUGUGGGCUGGAGAGAUGGCUCAGCAGUUAAAGAGCACUGACUGCUCUUCUGAAGGUCCUGAGUUCAAAUCCCAGCAACCACAUGGUGGCUCACAACCAUCUGUGAUGAUAUUUGAUGCCCUCUUCUGGGGUAUCUGAAGACAGUUACAGUGUACUUACACAUAAAUAAAUAAAUCUUCG